rnacentral:rRNA from 1 species
CACUAUCGUUAACUGAAUACAUAGGUUAACGAGGCGAACCGGGGGAACUGAAACAUCUAAGUACCCCGAGGAAAAGAAAUCAACCGAGAUUCCCCAGUAGCGGCGAGCGAACGGGGAGCAGCCCAGAGUCUGAAUCAGCUUGUGUGUUAGUGGAACGGUCUGGAAAGUCCGACGGUACAGGGUGAUAGUCCCGUACACCAAAAUGCACAGGUUGUGAACUCGAAGAGUAGGGCGGGACACGUGGUAUCCUGUCUGAAUAUGGGGG